GGCUGUCCCAUCCUGCAAGGGGCAAUACAAGGAGACCUGAGAGCUUCGGGUCAGCGGGGGAGCCACAAGGAGAGCUCAGCUCUCCAGGCUCCAUCAGCUGGGUGAUGCUGCCUUUUCUGUUGCCCGCUUUCUUGGCUAGGCAUCUGCAUGGACUGGAGGGGGAAGGUGUUUUGGGGACCUCCCACUCACAGUGUUUUCAUGAUAGCAUCUCUGCUGGAAGCUCACAGCUCUUCCCCCUGCGCUUUGCAUGCAGCGCUCCUCUCCAGCACAACAGAGCUGAGGCAGGGGUUGAACUGGCUCCAGCCAGGCAGCAACCUACAAUUAGCCAAGCAUCUCCGGGAUGCCAUCAACACAGGAUUCCCUUUGAUGAAGCGUCGUAUCCAGGUAACCUGUUCCUAAUCAAACAAGGCACCUGGGUGCACAGGAAAGGGCACUGCCGGCCAUUCCAGGAGCGCUGUGGGCAGAGCAAACAGGAAGCAGAGGGCCGGAGCAUGGCAGGCGCUCCACCUUGGCCCAGGGGUGUUGGGCAGGUGACGAGUCACACAGAGCUGGUCCCUCUCCUGCUCCAGGAGUGACGCAUUGUUUUGAACGAGAAAUUCCAGGAGCGUUGAUAGUCCUUUUGCUUUAAGGAUGGCAGCAUAGCUUGAGGUUUUUGGGGUUAAAUCCACAAAGGUGCUGACCUUCCUUGCUCUCCUGAGCCCUAUGGGAUCUGGGGCCAGGGCUCAACCGAAGAGCUUGGAGGUGUCGAGGGAAGGAUGGUCACCUCUGGAGGAUCCCAAAGCAUCACAGUGGGAAGAGGCAGCCAGAUGGAGAGUGCUGGGGCACACCGGGAGGAGGCUGAAAACCACAGAGCUGCAACUGCAUUUGGCAUUGGCUCCCCAUGAAGUGCAGGCAGAGUUUACUUUCCCUGUUUUAUCUUUGCUAAGCCUUAAUCACGGACUUGCUGCAACUCCUUCCACGAGGUUAACUCAGAGGAAAUCCCCACAUCAGGUCAUCCUCCGCACUCAGGCCCUGAUGCUCUAACCAGAGGUCCCUUCCAACCGUAAUUAUGCCAUGAUCCCAUGUUCGAACGUGGCUAAAUCCAGAAAUAAAUGCAUUAGGCCCAGCAACUCUUAUCUACCACAACAGGGGGACAGGCAUCACUCGGAGCCCAUCGGGGCGCGUUGCACGCCCGCUCCUCCCCUCCUCUCCUCGGCCACCCUACAGCUACGCUGCCGUCGAGGUGCCUCGGUUUCAUCAAUCCCCAAGCCGUACAUCAAAGGCUGCAUUUGCUUAGCUGCGCGCUUCCCUGGCAGGCUUCAGGGAUUAAUCACACCCGGCCCUGCGUGAAAAGCGUGACCAUGUCACAGUUGUUUGUGUCGGAUGGGUGCUCUCCUGGUUAUCGUACUGCAGUGCCGCCUUUGGC
ensembl:lncRNA